GGGGUAAAAUUAAUAAAUUAAUUUUAAUAAAAAAAUUUUUAAUAAAAUAUUUUAAAGGGGGGGUUAAAGUAUAUUUAUAGAAAAAAUAAAUUAAUUUAUAGUUAAAUAGUAUUGUAAAAGAAUUUUGAAAUAAUUGAAAAUUAAAUUUUUUUAAAAGUAAUUUUUAUUUAAUGUAUCUUGGGUAUCAGAGUUUAUUAAAAAAAAUUAUUAAAUAAAAAAAUUCUCGAAUUUAAAAGAGAUAAUUAAUUAAUAAAGUUAUUGUAGCAUAAAUAUUUUAAAUAAUUAAUUGGAAAUGAAAUGUUAAUCGUUUUUAAAUAUAUCUAGUUUUUUUAGAAAAAAAUUUAAUUUUAUAUUAUUUAAAAAAAAAAUUAAUUAAUUAAUUUUUUUUUUAAAUAAUAAUAUAUUUUAAGGGAUAAGCUUUAAUUUAAAUUUAUAUAAAUAAAUUGAAAAAUUAAAUUGAAAAUUUUAUAAUUUAUAUUGUUAAAAAAAUUUAAUUUAUUAUAAAUAAUUUCAUUUAAAAUAAAAUUUAAUAAAAUUUUAUAUGAUUUAUAAAAAAAAAAUUUUUAAUAAAAUAAAAUUUGAUAUAAUGAUAAAAUUAGUAUAUAAUAAAAUAUAUAAAUGAAUAAUUUAGUAUAAAUAAUUAAUUAAAAGGAAUUCGGCAAAAAUUUAUAUUCACUUGUUUAUCAAAAACAUGUCUUUUUGAAAAUAAUAUAAAGUCUAAUCUGCCCACUGAUAUAAUAUUAAAGGGCUGCAGUAUAUUGACUGUACAAAGGUAGCAUAAUCAUUAGUCAUUUAAUUGAUGACUUGUAUGAAAGAUUGGAUGAAAUAUAAACUGUCUCUUAAUUAAAUAUAGAAUUUAAUUUUUAAAUUAAAAAGUUUAAAUAAUUUAAAAAGACGAGAAGACCCUAUAGAGUUUUAUAAAUUUAAUGAUUAAGAUUAUUUAUUAAAAAAAAAAUUAAAAUUAAUAAAUUUAUUUUGUUGGGGUGACAAAAAAAUAUAAAAAACUUUUUUUAAAAUAAAACAUAUAUAAAUGAUUAAAUGAUCCAUUAUUAUUGAUUAUAAGAAAAAAUUACCUUAGGGAUAACAGCGUAAUUUUUUUUUUUAGUUCUUAUAAAAAGAAAAGUUUGCGACCUCGAUGUUGGAUUAAGAUAAAAUUUAAAUGCAGUAGUUUAAAAUUUUUGAUCUGUUCGAUCAUUAAAAUCUUACAUGAUCUGAGUUCAAACCGGUGUAAGCCAGGUUGGUUUCUAUCUUUUAAAAAAUAAAAUAUUUUAGUACGAAAGGAUUAAAUAUUUAAAUUAAAUUUUUUAUUUUGAAUUUUAUUAAAGAUAAUUUAUAAAUUUAUAAUAAAUAAAUUAAUAUAUAUAUAUAUAUAUAUAUAUAUUU
rnacentral:rRNA from 1 species